GUUCUCAACCCGCACAUCUACUAAAAUUGGAACAAUACAGAGAAGAUUAGCAUGGCCCUUGUACAAGGAUGACAUGAAAAUUCGUGAAGUAUUCCAUAUUUUU
ensembl:snRNA U6 U6 spliceosomal RNA